UUAAGAACAUAAGAACAGCCCUGCUACAUCAAACCAAGGCCGAUCGAGGCAACUUUCAACCUGGAGGCAACAUUGGGUCUUCAACGCUAGUUUGUCCUCCAUGACUUUGUCCAAUACCCUUUGAAAGAUGGCCAUCACCACAUCUUGUGGGAAUGCAUGACACAGUGUGCCUUGAUGGAGGGCUAUCGUUAUGCAUAAAAACACACAUGCUCUCCUUGAGAAGGGAAGCAUUUAAGGAGUGAAAAACAUAAGGAAGAUUGACAAGGCAACCAGCCCAAGGAGGAUACUCACGUUGGAGACCUCAGGAGAACUGGGCAGUUCUCUGAAGCAAGGUUAAAGACCAUGAACUCACAAGUACUGUGGACAUACGGAUGAAGAUCCUAUCAGUUUGAAGUAGACGUUGGUUACAAGGAGAAAUAUAAUGAACUGAGGGUAUGAGCUUCAUUACCAAGAAGGAAAGAAGAUGAUGAAGAAGGAUACGUAUCACCUGUAUUUGCACACCUCACUGGACCACAAACUAGCCUACAGUGUUACAUGAACUCAGUCUGUACGAUUAUUUUAUGGAUUCAAUAUGGCAUGCAGACUUAGAAAACUGGAUUGA